GACGAAUGCUGGCGGCGUGCCUAAUACAUGCAAGUCGAACGAAGCUGUUUUAACUGGUGCUUGCACCGACUUAAACAACUGAGUGGCGAACGGGUGAGUAACACGUGGGUAACCUGCCCCAAAGCGGGGGAUAACAUUUGGAAACAGAUGCUAAUACCGCAUAACCACAGAAACCACAUGGUUUCUGUGUCAAAGAUGGUUUCGGCUAUCACUUUGGGAUGGACCCGCGGCGUAUUAGCUAGUUGGUAAGGUAAUGGCUUACCAAGGCAAUGAUACGUAGCCGAACUGAGAGUUUGAUCGGCCACAUUGGGACUGAGACACGGCCCAAACUCCUACGGGAGGCAGCAGUAGGGAAUCUUCCACAAUGGACGAAAGUCUGAUGGAGCAACGCCGCGUGAGUGAAGAAGGUUUUCGGAUCGUAAAACUCUGUUGUCAGAGAAGAACGUGUGCGAGAGUAACUGUUCGUGCAGUGACGGUAUCUGGCCAGAAAGCCACGGCUAACUACGUGCCAGCAGCCGCCGUAA
rnacentral:rRNA from 1 species